rnacentral:rRNA from 1 species
UAAGCGGAGGAAAAGAAACUAACAAGGAUUCCCCUAGUAACUGCGAGUGAACCGGGAAAAGCUCAAAUUUUGAAUCUGGCAGUCUUUUAUGGCUGUCCGAGUUGUAAUCUAGAGAAGUGUUUUCCGCGCUGGACCGUGUAUAAGUUUCCUGGAAAGGAACGUCAUAGAGGGUGAAAAUCCCGUCUUUGACACGGACUCCCAGGGCUAUGUGAUGCGCUCUCGACGAGUCGAGUUGUUUGGGAAUGCAGCUCAAAUAGGGUGGUAAAUUCCAUCUAAAGCUAAAUACAGGCGAGAGACCGAUAGCGAACAAGUACCGUGAGGGAAAGAUGAAAAGAACUUUGGAAAGAGAGUUAAACAGUAUGUGAAAUUGCUGAAAGGGAAACGUUUGAGGUCAGUCGUGUCUGCCGGGGAUCAGCUUUGCUUUACUGCGAGGCGUAUUUCCUGGUGUGAUGGGUCAGUAUCAGUUUUGGCUGUUGGAAAAGGGCGGGGGUAAUGUGGCACUCUUUCGGGGGUGUGUUAUAGACUCYUGCUUUGAAUACGAUGGCUGGGAUUGAGGAACUCAGUGUGAGCCCUUUGGGUUUCGGGGCUUCGGCUCACGUUUAUCAUGCUUAGGAUACUGGCAUAAUGGCCUUAAGCGACCCGUCUUGAAACACGGACCAAGGAGUCUAACA